rnacentral:rRNA from 1 species
UGUUUUAGUCUAGUUAGAGGAACCUGUGUUAUAAACGAAACAACACGCAUUAUCUUACUUAUUUUAGUAAGUCAGUUUGUAUACCGUCAUUAUUAGAUAAUUUAGGAGAAAAUAUUAUUGAGGUCAUAUUAUUGAGUAUAUUAGAUCAAGGUGCAGCUUAUGAGUAAGUAAAUAUGGGUUACAAUAAAAUUUAUUUAGUAUGAAUUAAGUAUUAAAAUAUAUUUAUGAAGGAGGAUUUAAUUGUAAGAAAAAAAUAGUAAGAUUUUUUGAUAAGAGCUCUAAAUUAU